GCGGGCGCCCCUCCCCCAGCCUCGCUGCCGCCUUGCAGUUUGAUCUCAGACUGCUGUGCUAGCAAUCAGCGAGACUCCGUGGGCGUAGGACCCUCCGAGCCAGGUGUGGGAUUUAAUCUCGUGGUGCGCCGUUUUUUAAGCCGGUCGGAAAAGUGCAGUAUUCGGGUGGGAGUGAUCCGAUUUUCCAGAAUGUCUCUCUGGCUUCCUCUCCCUCUCAGAGACCCAAUUUGGAACUGAAACCCUGAGUACAGCAAAACUGCAUUUCCCAAGCUCCUCUUCUCUCAAUGGGUCACAUGACUUGUUCUAGCCAAUAGAACGAGGGUGGAACUAAUGUGACCACUUUCAGGUGGCCCCUAAAGUCUCCUGUGAGAUCUUCCAAUCUUGCUCUCCUCACUCUGCAUGGCUGGAAAUGAA
rnacentral:lncRNA from 1 species